UCAUGGGAAAGGGCACUUAGGAUCUUGCUCUCAGCCACCCAACACUUUUGCUGGGUCAAAAUAAGACUUAUGUUGCAGAACAGAACAAGAUAUACUUUCAUUUCAUUUUUGCAUCUGUUAAUCUUCCUGCCUGCAGUCUUAGUCAUUUAGCCCUGAGAGUUUUAAGCCACAUUUAUUGCCAUUAUUUUUGCAUUCAUUUUUCAAAAUGAUUGACUUAAGCUUCCUGACCAAGGAGGAACAAGAGGCCAUCAUGAAGUUUCUGGAGCGGGAUGCAGCCCUGAAGAGGGCUGAAGAGGAGAGAGUCAGAUAUUUGCCUAAAAAAAUUAAGGAUGACCAGCAACUGAAGAACAUGAGUGGCCAAUGGUUUUAUGAAGCCAAGACAAAAAGGCACAGAGACAAAAUUCAUGGUGCAGAUAUCAUCAGAGCAUCUAUGAGGAAGAAGAGGCUUCAGGUAGCAGCUGAGCAGAGUAAGGAAAGAGCAGAUGGGGCAAAGGAAAGCUGGGUGAAUAAUGUCAGCAAAGAUGCUUUCCUUCCCCCAGAGCUAGCUGGUGUUGUAGAAGAGCCAGAAGAAGAUGCAGCACCAGCAAUACCAAGUUCCAGUAUGGUAAGUCCAGCUUCUACUGCGAUUGAUAUGUCCCAAGAAAACACAAGGAAACCAACUGUGUCUCCAGCUAAGCAAAGGAGGAAUCUGUUUAAUAACUCCAAGUUGGCAGAAGAUCACUCAUCACAACAAACCAAAAAUGAACAGUCAAAAAAUGGAAGAGCUGGUUUAUUUCAGACUUCAAAAGAGGGUCAAUUGUCAGAAUCAAAAGAAAAGUCACCAUUCCAAGAUAUUUCAAGUCAAAAGUUAGAGAAAUCAAAGCAGACUUUUCCAGCCCCUUUGAAUGAAUCCCAAAUCAAGGCUCCAAUCCCCAAACACAGGAACAUUAUCUACAAAUCAGAUUGUUUAAACCAAGAUGAUAACCAGUGUUUUCCUAGAGAAAGGACAGACUCCUUGAAUACAAGAGGGGCUUUGAGAGGGAUCCUUAAGCGUAACUCAAGUUCCAACAGCACAGACUCAGAAAUUCUUCGUUUUAAUCACAGCUUUGAAUCCAAAAGCAAAACUGUGUCACCAGGCCUAACCAUACAUGAGAGAAUUUCCGAGACGGAACAUUCUUUAGAAGAUGAUUGUUCCCCAAACUCCCUGGAACCAUUAAAGCAUGUGAGAUUCUCUACCGUGAUGGAUGAACUUCCACAAAGUCCUGGGCUAAUCCAAGGCCAGGAAGUGGAGGAAUUUAGUGUUUUAGAAUCUGACAGGUUGAAGAAUGGAACAGAAGAUGCAGGGGACACAGAUGAGUUUCAGAGUGACCCUAAGCCUUCCCAAUACAGAAUGCCUUGGCCUUUUCAUUAGUUAGCCGCAAGCCCAAAUGGAUCAAAAAAUGAAACACAUCAGCCAAUGACUUCUGGUUCUUUUCCAGUUAAUGGGCUCCAUUCUCACUCAGAAAUUUUAACUGCAAGACCACAGUCCAUUGAGAAUUCCCUUACCACCAAUGACCAGAAAGUUUAACCAGAAAGAAUUAAAAAGGCUUGAAUCAGAAUUGCCCAAAACCUCCGCUGAUGAACUGUCUCAUGUUAAGCCUGAGCCAGCUCAGGUGCCAGACUGCAGUUCUAGAGACCAUCAGCAAGGUUCAGAAGAAGAACCCAAUCCUGUUUUGAAAACUUUGGAAAGGAGUGCUGUUAGGAAAAUACCUUCCAAAAGUCUAGAAAACAUAUCAUAAUUAUUACGUAGUGCUGAAGAUGAUCAAAAAGCAGAUCAGGAAUCAGAUACAAAUGAAUGCAUACCAAGAAUUUCCACAGUGUCUGCACCACCUGAUAAUCAGUUUUCUCACCUUGGCAAACUCAAAAGGAUGAACAAGUCUGUUCCAGCAUUUCUACAAGAUGAGAGUGAUGACAGAGAAACAGAUACAGCAUCAGAAAGCAGUUACCAGCUCAGCAGACACAAGAAGAGCCCGAGCUCUUUAACCAAUCUUAGCAGCUCCUCUGGCAUGACGUCCUUAUCUUCUGUGAGUGGCAGUGUGAUGAGUGUUUAGAGUGGAGACUUCGGCAAUCUGGAAGUUAAAGGAAAGAUUCUGUUUGCAGUAGAAUAUGUGGAGUCAUUAAAGGAGUUGCAUAUUUUUGUGACCCAGUAUAAGGACUUAGCAGCCGCAGAUGUUAAAAAACAGUACUCAGACUCAUAUGUCAAGACCUAUUUGUUACCAGACAAAGGCAAAAGGCACAAGAAGGAAACAUCUGUAGUGAAGACAACCUUGAAUCCUGUGUACAACGAGAUACGGCGGUAUAAAAUUGAAAAGCAAAACUUAAAGACACAGAAACUGAAUGUAUCUGUUUGGCAUCGAGAUCCAUUUCAGCGCAAUAGUUUCCUAGGGGAGGUGGAACUUGACUUGGAAACAUGGUACUGGGACAACAAACAGAAUAAACAAUUGAGGUGGUACCCUUUGAAGCAGAAGGCAGUACCAGUUGCCCUUGAAGCAGAAAACAGAGGUGAAAUGAAGCUAGCUCUCCAGUACAUUCCAGAGCCAAUCCCUGGUAAAAAGCUUCCUACAAUCGGAGAAGCGCACAUCUGGGUGAAGGAAUGCCUUGAUCUACCACUGCUGAGGGGAAACCAUCUAAAUUCUUUUGUUAAAUGUACCAUUCUUCCAGAUACAAGUAGGAAAAGCCGCCAGAAGACGAGAGCUGUAGAGAAGACCACCAACCCUAUCUUCAAUCACACAAUGGUGUGCGAUGGGUUUAGGCCUGAACAUCUGUCAGAAGCCUGUAUAGAGCUUACUGUCUGGGACCAUUACAAACUAACCAACAAGUUUUUGGGAGGUCUUCGGAUUGGCUUUGGAACAGGUAAAAGCUAUGGGACUGAAGCGGAUUGGAUGGACCCUACCUCGGAGGAAGUUGCUCUCUGGGAAAAGAUGGUAAAUUCCCCCGAUAGCUGGAUUGAAGCGAUACUGCCUCCAAAUGCUUGUGAUUGCCAAGAUUGCCAAAUGA